UGUAUAAUGGGUCAGCGACUUAUAUUCUGUAGCAAGGUUAACCGUAUAGGGGAGCCGAAGGGAAACCGAGUCUUAACUGGGCGUUAAGUUGCAGGGUAUAGACCCGAAACCCGGUGAUCUAGCCAUGGGCAGGUUGAAGGUUGGGUAACACUAACUGGAGGACCGAACCGACUAAUGUUGAAAAAUUAGCGGAUGACUUGUGGCUGGGGGUGAAAGGCCAAUCAAACCGGGAGAUAGCUGGUUCUCCCCGAAAGCUAUUUAGGUAGCGCCUCGUGAACUCAUCUUCGGGGGUAGAGCACUGUUUCGGCUAGGGGGCCAUCCCGGCUUACCAACCCGAUGCAAACUACGAAUACCGAAGAAUGUUAUCACGGGAGACACACGGCGGGUGCUAACGUCCGUCGUGAAGAGGGAAACAACCCAGACCGCCAGCUAAGGUCCCAAAGUCAUGGUUAAGUGGGAAACGAUGUGGGAAGGCACAGACAGCCAGGAUGUUGGCUUAGAAGCAGCCAUCAUUUAAAGAAAGCGUAAUAGCUCACUGGUCGAGUCGGCCUGCGCGGAAGAUGUAACGGGGCUAAACCAUGCACCGAAGCUGCGGCAGCGACGCGUAUGCGUUGUUGGGUAGGGGAGCGUUCUGUAAGCCGUUGAAGGUGUGCUGUGAGGCAUGCUGGAGGUAUCAGAAGUGCGAAUGCUGACAUAAGUAACGAUAAAGCGGGUGAAAAGCCCGCUCGCCGGAAGACCAAGGGUUCCUGUCCAACGUUAAUCGGGGCAGGGUGAGUCGACCCCUAAGGCGAGGCCGAAAGGCGUAGUCGAUGGGAAACAGGUUAAUAUUCCUGUACUUGGUGUUACUGCGAAGGGGGGACGGAGAAGGCUAUGUUAGCCGGGCGACGGUUGUCCCGGUUUAAGCAUGUAGGCGGAGGU
rnacentral:rRNA from 1 species